AAAACAGAUUAUUUUGCAGGUUUUCAAAUUCCCUGGUCGAUUUUUGGCAAUUAACUGUUUAACCCAUUAAGGACCAAUGAUGUAAGUAAACAUCAUAAUAAACCAGUCUCUAAGACCCCAUAUUAAAUGGAACAUCCCUCUCAUUCUAUGAUCGCAGAGCUUUAUAGACCUGCAAAUGCAACACAAGCAGGACAUUCCGAGCUGUACAGGGUCCCCAGGAAACAAACUGUGAUAAUGAAGAGGUUAUGAAUGUGGACCUUAAGAGGUUAAAGGGACACUCCAGAUCCCUAAGGCACUUCAGCUUGCUAAUGUUCUUUGUGUGAAGAGUUUGUCCUUUUUCACACUUUUUAAAACUAACCUUGUUACAAACCGUCAAUUUAUUC